GAUGAACGCUGGCGGCGUGCUUAACACAUGCAAGUCGAGCGAUGAAGUUUCCUUCGGGAAACGGAUUAGCGGCGGACGGGUGAGUAACACGUGGGUAACCUGCCUCAUAGAGUGGAAUAGCCUUCCGAAAGGAAGAUUAAUACCGCAUAAUGUUGAAAGAUGGCAUCGUCAUUCAACCAAAGGAGCAAUCCGCUAUGAGAUGGACCCGCGGCGCAUUAGCUAGUUGUGGGGUAACGGCCUACCAAGGCGACGAUGCGUAGCCGACCUGAGAGGGUGAUCGGCCACAUUGGGACUGAGACACGGCCCAGACUCCUACGGGAGGCAGCAGUGGGGAAUAUUGCACAAUGGGGAAACCCUGAUGCAGCAACGCCGCGUGAGUGAUGAAGGUUUUCGGAUCGUAAAGCUCUGUCUUUGGGGAAGAUAAUGACGGUACCCAAGGGGAAAGCCACGGCUAACUACGUGG
rnacentral:rRNA from 1 species